GAUGAACGCUGGCGGCGUGCCUAAUACAUGCAAGUCGAGCGAACGGACGAGAAGCUUGCUUCUCUGAUGUUAGCGGCGGACGGGUGAGUAACACGUGGGUAACCUACCUAUAAGACUGGGAUAACUUCGGGAAACCGGAGCUAAUACCGGAUAAUAUUUUGAACCGCAUGGUUCAAAAGUGAAAGAUGGUCUUGCUGUCACUUAUAGAUGGAUCCGCGCUGCAUUAGCUAGUUGGUAAGGUAACGGCUUACCAAGGCAACGAUGCAUAGCCGACCUGAGAGGGUGAUCGGCCACACUGGAACUGAGACACGGUCCAGACUCCUACGGGAGGCAGCAGUAGGGAAUCUUCCGCAAUGGGCGAAAGCCUGACGGAGCAACGCCGCGUGAGUGAUGAAGGUCUUCGGAUCGUAAAACUCUGUUAUUAGGGAAGAACAUAUGUGUAAGUAACUGUGCACAUCUUGACGGUACCUAAUCAGAAAGCCACGGCUAACUACGU
rnacentral:rRNA from 1 species